UAGGGUUUAGAGUUAAAGGGUGGGGUUUAGGAUUUAGGGUUUAAGGUUUAGAGUUUAGGGUUUAGGGUUUAGAGUUUAGGGUUUAGAGUUUAGGGUUUAGGGUUUAGAGUUUAAGGUUUAGGGUUUAGGGUUUAGGGUUUAGAGUUUAGAGUUUAGAGUUUAGAGUUGAGAAAUGAGGUUUUGGAGAUAAGAUUUCAAAUUUUGAAAAAUAAAAAAAUUAAAAUUUUCAAAGGAUAAACUUUGUUAUUUUGGUCAUUUUAGUUUUUGAGUGCUAUUUUUGUGAUAUAAACUUAGAAAUGUGCUAUUUUGGAGAUUUGCCCAAAUAAUAAGUCAAAUCUCCAAAAUAGCGCUUUUAUAAAUUUAUGUCACAAAAAUAGCCCUCAAAAAUUAAAAUGACCAAAAUAGCAUUUUAUCUUUUAAAAAAUUUAAUUUUUUUCUUAUUUUUUGAAAUUUGAAAUCUUAUCCCAAAAUCCAACUCCCCAACUCUAAACCCUAAAACCUAAAUUCUAAACCCUAAACCCUAAAUCCUAAACUCUAAAUCCUAAACCCCACCCCUUAACUAUAAACCCUAAACCCUAAACCCUAAACUCCACCCCUAAACUCUAAACCCUAAACCCUAAACACUAAAUCCUAAACCCCACCUUUUAACUCUAAACUCUAAACCCCACCCCUUAACUAUAAACCCUAAACCCUAAACCCUAAACUCCACCCCUAAACUCUAAACUCUAAACCCUAAACACUAAACACUAAAUCCUAAACCCCACC
rnacentral:lncRNA from 1 species